AAGUAGUGCUGUACAUCCAAAGUUAAAGAAAAAAUGAGUCAGCGCAGCUUGCUGAAAUUCAUCCUUGCAGUCACACUUGUAGCUGUCAUAUUCUCCAUUUGUAAUGGUUUGAAUACUGAUUCUCAGCAUUGUGUGGGACCAUGCAAUCAGUUCUUUCGAAAUUGUGAUGGAUACUGCAAGAAGCUUGGCUAUACGAUUGGACAAUGCGUCGAACAACCUCGCGGUAAUGGCGGUUUCUGCUGUUGUGCCAAACCCACUACUUGAACCAAUUAUAUUUCAAUAAUUUUAUUAAUGGAAAUGUAUUAAAUUCUUAUUUUAUUCCUUUUUAU